AUCCGGCUGACGAGUCCCAAGUAGGACGAAACUUGCGUCAAACUGGAU
rnacentral:hammerhead_ribozyme from 1 species